GCCUCCCGAAGUGCUAGGAUUACAGGCAUAAGCCACCGCACCCAGACCCCAAAAUAGGAUUUUCUUAAAGAGAGUUCGGCUUAACUAAAAGUGGAUAUCUGGGGGGCUGGCAUGCGGUGGCAUUGUGGGUGGGAGCGGCUGCGACGCCGGCACCUGAGGAGUGAUGCCGAGGGAAAUCAUCACCCUACAGUUGGGCCAGUGCGGCAAUCAGAUUGGGUUAGAGUUCUGGAAACAGCUGUGCACUGAGCAUGGUAUCAGCCCCAAGGGUACUGUAGAGGAGUUCGCCAUCAAGGGCACUGACCACAAGGACAUCUUUUUCUAACAGGCAGAAGAUGAGCACUAUAUCCCCUGGGCCGUGCUGCUGGACCUGGAGCCCCGGGUGAUCCACUCCAUCCUCAACUCCCCCUAUCCCAAGCUCUACAACCCAGAGAACAUCUACCUGUUGGAGCAUGGAGGAGGAGCUGGCAACAACUGGGCCAGCAGAUUCUCCCAGAGAGAGAAGCUCCAUGAGGACAUUUUUAACAUCAUAGACUGAGAGGCAGAUGGUAGUGACAAUCUAGAUGGCUUUGUGCUGUAUCAGCCCAUUGCUGGGGGGACAGGCUCUGGCUUCGGCCCCUACCUCUUAGAAUGGCUGAAUGAUAGGUAUCCUAAGAAGCUGGUGCAGACAUAUUCAGUGUUUCUCAACCAGGACGAGAUAAGCGAUGUGGUGAUCCAGCUUUAUAAUUCACUCCUCACACUCAAGAGGCUGAUGCAGAAUGCAGACUGUGUGGUGGUGCUGCACAACACAGCCCUGAACCAGAUUGCCAUAGACCCCCUGAAUAUCCAGAACCCAUCCUUCUCUCAGACCAACCAGCUGGUGUCCACCAUCAUGUCAGCCAGCACCUUCACCCUGCACUACCCCGGCUACAUGAACAAUGACCUCAUCAGCCUCAUCGCCUCACUCAUUCCCACACCAUGGCUCCACUUUCUCAUGACCGGCUACACCCUGCUAACUAUGGACCAGUCAGUGGCCAGUGUGAGGAAGAUCACGGUCCUGGAUGUCAUGACGUAGCUGCUGCAGCCCAAGAAUGUGAUGGUGUCCACAGGCCGAGACCACCACACCAACCACUCCUACAUCACCAUCCUCAACACGAUCCAGGGAGACGUGAACCCCACCCAGGUCCACAAGAACCUGCAGAGGAUCCAGAAACGGAAGUUGGCCAACUUUAUCCUGUGGGGCCCCACCAGCAUCCAGGUGGCCCUGUCAAGGAAGUCUCCUUACCCGCCCUUGGCCCACCGGGUCAGUGGGCUCAUGAUGGCCAACCACACCAGCAUCUCCUCACUCUUCGAGAGAACCUGUCACCAAUAUGACAAGCUGCGGAAGAGGGAGGCCUUCCUGGAGCCGUUUCGCAAGGAGGACAUGUUCAAGGACAACUUUGAUGAGAUGGACACAUCCAGGGAGAUUGUGCAGCAGCUCAUGGAUGAGUACCACAUGGCCACACGGCCAGAUUACAUCUCCUGGGGCACCCAGGAGCAGUGAGUCCCCCAGGAUAGGGAUCCUCAUCUGCCUUACUGUUUGGCCAAGGCCCUGCCUGACUGCCCACUCCCUUAGAGCACAGAUCAGGGACC